AAGGGAUUAUCACAUUUCAGUAUAAUUGUCUGAAAAUCAGUCAAAUUCUAAAGACAUUCUAUCGUCUUCCUCGUAUCUCCUCUGCAACUCCGCCGGCUCCGCCACUAGCGGUGAACGUCACUUACGCCAACGGCUACCAAAAUUACACCACCAAGUCUCCUUGUUCCCCUCUUUCCAUUCCUGUCACUGGUUUACCUCGAAUCUUGCUGGAGCCCAUCGAAUCUUCGUUGGAAGUUUUCCGGCGAAGUCGCAACCUUGUCCAAACCGGCCCAAAUUUGUAUCAAUCAACCCUCAGACCUUCCUCACUCCUAAUCCCUAACCGAAUCCUCUCGAAUAUCAGUUAAAUGGCUCGAAUUUUAAAAUUUAGGGUUUCGAAGACGGAGUUUUUUUGGGAGAUUUGAAGGUUUAAUUGGCUUCAAGUUGAUAUUAUGUGUUUAUUUCAUAUGAAAUAAACAUAUAACAUCCGCUCAAAGCCAAAUUUGGAGGCAAGUCGAUUUCGAAAUUGAGUUCAUAAGUUGCUCAUCUUUUUAUUUUAUUUUCUUUUUCUGUUCUCAUGAAUCCGGUUGGUUUAAUUGGUGCUUUGCUGUUAAGUGGUGUGUGUAGUUUCCGUGACAAUUUUGUUAAUUCUUAGUUUAGAUAAUUCUGUUUUAACGCUCAUUUUUCUGUUAGAUUAAUUUUUCAAAUGGUGGCUUAAUUGUUUCGAUUGAUUAAUUGUUAGUCUUUAGCAUGUUAUAGUUUAGUUCUGCCGAUAAUGGUCUUGGUUAGUUUAAUCUGUCUAGUUGUUGAUUGUUUGAUUAAAGAGCUUUUGAAUUAUAACCUUGUUUAAGUGAAUUGUUGGUUAUAGCUUGUAAUUAAUUAUGGGUAAAGGGAAUGGGGUCAGUCAACCAUGGUUCAAUCAGGGAUGGGUAGGUUAGUGAUUCGAGGAAUAAGCUAAGGGCAAUUUGUGUAAUUUAAGGGCUUGGAAUCUGUUAGGAACUGAAAUAAAAGCCUAGAACAUUCCAGAAUAGGCACCCAAGUAUAAUUUUAUGAUGGUUAGUAGACAAGCUUGGGUAGCAAGUUAAAAUAGACCUGAAAAUUCAAAUUCAAGUCAAAAAUCCUCUUAGAUUUUAGCUUUCUUCAUAUUGAAACAAAAAAUAAUACUAGAAACUUCAAAAAAUCCCCAAAACAGCUACUGUUUAAAUUUUGAAAGGAUUUUUAACUUUGAGCUACUGAUUUACAAUUCCUAGGUUCGACUUUGAUAAUUGAAGGUUUGAAAAGUAGUCUGGUUUAGUUUUGAGUAACUUUGGGUUCAACUAAACUGGUUUGCUUGAGUUUUGGGUUUUCUGAAGUAUUUUGUAGUAUCUCAAGUCUAUUUGGAUGCAUUUCAGUUGAUUUGUCGUUGGUUGCUUGGAUUUUGUUUGGUUUUAAAAACUCCCUGAAUAAUUGGACUGGUUCUGGCUGUUGUGAGCUCUCAUUACUUGUUGCUGACCUUCUCUUCCUAUGUUGUUAUUCAAAAAAUCAGGUACUUAUUCCUAUCCUGAUUGUGUUGGUGCUGAUUUUGACGUGGACAUGCAAUAAAAUGGAUCUCUCAUUUGCUCAUAGAAGUUAUGCCUGUCGAUUUGUGCUGUUUAGUCUACUUGUUUAGUGUAGUUUGAACUUUGAUGUUUAUACACAAGAAUUUUACUGUAUGACUGGGAAUGUUGGAACUACUAAUACGUAGAAUUCAUUCAGUAGUAUUGUGUGCUAGUGUAGUGUUCUACACAAUCAGAUUUCGUUGUUACUGAGAUUAGAUUUAUUCUAGAUUGUAUUGACCUUUUUGUUCUCAGCAGGCAUCAAAUGAUAACAAGUUCAAUGUGCUUGAGAAUGAUGGUUUAAUUUCAUUUUGGUCAAUAAGUUCAAUAGCUUCGAAUAGUUCAAAUGAGAAUCAGUAUGUUAGUUCAAUAUGGUUGAGUAAUCAGCACAUCUGCCUUUAAUUUUGAAGUUUGGCUUAGUUUAAUAUAUCAUUAAGUCACUAACGGAAUACUUCAUUAAGAUUUGGUUGUCAAUUUUUGGUUUAUUUGAAUAGCAAAGGGUCUUUAAUCUUUGUUCAUCACAAAUUAAGGUCCCACUGUAUAAAUAUUACCGAUUGUCUCUCAAUUAUUAGCAUUUUGACU
rnacentral:lncRNA from 1 species